rnacentral:rRNA from 1 species
GUAAGGAAUAUUGCGCAAUGGGCGAAAGCCUGACGCAGCGACGCCGCGUGGGGGAUGAAGGUCUUCGGAUUGUAAACCCCUUUCGGGAGGGAAGAUGGGAUGGGGUAACCCAUUCGGACGGUACCUCCAGAAGCAGCCACGGCUAACUUCGUGCCAGCAGCCGCGGUAAUACGAAGGUGGCAAGCGUUGUUCGGAUUUACUGGGCGUACAGGGAGCGUAGGCGGUUGGGUAAGCCCUCCGUGAAAUCUCCAGGCUUAACCUGGAAAGUGCAGAGGGGACUGCUCAGCUAGAGGAUGGGAGAGGAGCGCGGAAUUCCCGGUGUAGCGGUGAAAUGCGUAGAGAUCGGGAGGAAGGCCGGUGGCGAAGGCGGCGCUCUGGAACAUUUCUGACGCUGAGGCUCGAAAGCGUGGGGAGCAAACAGGAUUAGAUACCCUAGUAGUCC